rnacentral:rRNA from 1 species
UACGUAGGGGGCAAGCGUUUGUCCGGAAUCAUUGGGCGUAAAGAGCGCGUAGGCGGUCCGGUAAGUCGGUUGUGAAAAACUGGGGGGCUCAACCCCUCAGAGGCCGACCGAUACUGUCGGGCUAGAGUCCGGAAGAGGCGAGUGGAAUUCCUGGUGUAGCGGUGAAAUGCGCAGAUAUCAGGAGGAACACCAAUGGCGAAGGCAGCUCGCUGGGACGGUACUGACGCUGAG